rnacentral:lncRNA from 1 species
CAAUGUCCAGGGUUUCCGAUGGCACCUGUGUCAAGGUCUUCCAACAACUCCGGGUCUUCCAGCGACUUCAAGUCUUCCAAUAAUCUCAAGGUCUUCCAGAUAAUCCUGAGCUUCCAGAAAAUCCACAUCUUCCAGACAAUCCAUGUCUUCCGGACAAUCCAUGUCUUCCAAGAAGCUCCAAGUCUUCCAGUAAAUCAAGUCUUCCAGCAAAUCCAGUCUUCCAGCAAUUACUGGUCUUCCACCAAAUCCAGAUCUUCCAGGAAAAUCCACAUCUUCCAGCUAAUCCAUGUCUUCCAGAAAAAUCUGUGUCUUCCACCAAAUCCAAGUCUUCCAGUAAAUCUAGUUCUUCCAGAAAAAUCUAGAUCUUCCAGUCAAUCAGUGUCUUCCAGAAAGAAAUCCAGGUCUUCCAGUCAAUCAGUGUCUUCCAGAAAGAAAUCCAGGUCUUCCAGUCAGUCAGUGUCUUCCAGAAAAAUCUACGUCUUCCACCAAAUCCAGGUCUUCCAGUCAAUCCACAUCUUCCGGAAAAAAUCCAGGUCUUCCAGCCAAUAUAUGUCUUCCUGAAGAUCCACGUCUUCCAGAAAAUCCAUGUCUUCCAGAAAAUCCAUGUCUUCCAGUAACCUCCCAGUCUUCCAGAAAAUCCACGUCUUCCCAACAAUCCAAGUCUUCCGGAUAAUUUGGGUCUUCCUGAAAAUCUACGUCUUCC